CAGAAUCAAGAUUCUGGUUUAUCUAGUUCACUUAUUCUACUGGAUCUUACGGAGCCUAUUCAUGUACGACACGAUUCGGAUUUGAUCAUAGAAAGGAUUCUCUUCAAGCGAACCAGCCUAUCCUCUGUAUGGAGCUUAUGCGGUGGUUGGAACAAAGACACAUUUGGUUGUGAAUUCCAAUGCAAUGUGGCAGAUAGAUAAAGGCAUAUAUCUGCACAGACCAAUCAAUAGUUCAAGUCACACACUCCGAAUAUUUUUGAAUAUAUUUAUAUUGUUUCUUCAACUAUAUUAAUAAUAUUUCAGCGUUCAAGGGAAAUAUCCAAAUAUAUGUCUUAUUAUUUUCAAUAAUCCAUACUUGUAGCAAUGAAAUACUAUUGUUCUUCCUCCAAGUAAUAAAUG
rnacentral:lncRNA from 1 species